rnacentral:rRNA from 1 species
AUUGAACGCUGGCGGCAGGCCUAACACAUGCAAGUCGAACGAGUGGCGGACGGGUGAGUAAUGUCUGGGAAACUGCCUGAUGGAGGGGGAUAACUACUGGAAACGGUAGCUAAUACCGCAUACCAUCGGAUGUGCCCAGAUGGGAUUAGCUAGUAGGUGGGGUAACGGCUCACCUAGGCGACGAUCCCUCGCUGGUCUGAGAGGCGGAUCAGUCCCACUGGAACGGAGACACGGUCCAGACUCCUACGGGAGGCAGCAGUGGGGAAUAGUGGACAAUGGGCGAAAGCCUGAUCCAUCCAUGCCGCGUGUGUGAAGAAGGUCUUCGGAUUGUAAAGCACUUUAAGUUGGGAGGCGUUACCAACAGAAUAAGCACCGGCUAACUUCGUGCCAGCAGCCGCGGUAAUAC